GGGCGCAUAGCUCAGUUGGUUAGAGCGUUCGCUUCACACGCGAGAGGUCAGGGGUUCGAGUCCCUUUGCGCCCACCG
rnacentral:tRNA from 2 species